GAUGAACGCUGGCGGCGUGCCUAAUACAUGCAAGCCGAGCGAACGGACGAGAAGCUUGCUUUUCUGAUGUUAGCGGCGGACGGGUGAGUAACACGUGGAUAACCUACCUAUAAGACUGGGAUAACUUCGGGAAACCGGAGCUAAUACCGGAUAAUAUUUUGAACCGCAUGGUUCAAAAGUGAAAGACGGUCUUGCUGUCACUUAUAGAUGGAUCCGCGCUGCAUUAGCUAGUUGGUAAGGUAACGGCUUACCAAGGCAACGAUGCAUAGCCGACCUGAGAGGGUGAUCGGCCACACUGGAACUGAGACACGGUCCAGACUCCUACGGGAGGCAGCAGUAGGGAAUCUUCCGCAAUGGGCGAAAGCCUGACGGAGCAACGCCGCGUGAGUGAUGAAGGUCUUCGGAUCGUAAAACUCUGUUAUUAGGGAAGAACAUAUGUGUAAGUAACUGUGCACAUCUUGACGGUACCUAAUCAGAAAGCCACGGCUAACUACGUG
rnacentral:rRNA from 1 species